rnacentral:misc_RNA from 1 species
GAAAUGCGAUAAAUAUUGUGAAUAGCAGAAUCGUGAAUCAUCGAAUCUUUGAACGCACAUUGCGCCCGCUGGUAUUCCGGGGGGCAUGCCUGUCCGAGCGUCAUUGCUGCCCUCAAGCACGGCUUGUGUGUUGGGCCCCCCCCGUCCCGGUUCUCCAGCCGGGACGGGCCCGAAAGGCAGCGGCGGCACCGUGUCCGGUCCUCGAGUGUAUGGGGCUCUGUCACCCAAUCGUGUAGGCCCGGCCGGCGGCCAGCCUCUUCAACCAAACUUCUUUAACCAGGUUGACCUCGGAUCAGGUAGGGAUACCCGCUGAACUUAA